rnacentral:rRNA from 1 species
UACGAAGGUGGCAAGCGUUGUCCGGAAUCACUGGGCGUAAAGGGCGCGUAGGCGGCUCAUGAAGGCUGUGGUGAAAGUCCGGGGCUCAACCUCGGAUCGGCCGGUGGCGACUCGUGGGCUGGAGCACUGUAGAGGCGGGUGGAAUUCCGGGUGUAGCGGUGGAAUGCGUAGAGAUCCGGAAGAACACCAGUGGCGAAGGCG